rnacentral:misc_RNA from 1 species
GAUGAAGAACGUAGCGAAAUGCGAUAAGUAAUGUGAAUUGCAGAAUUCAGUGAAUCAUCGAAUCUUUGAACGCACAUUGCGCCCGCCAGUAUUCUGGCGGGCAUGCCUGUUCGAGCGUCAUUUCAACCAUCAAGCCCCCGGCUUGUGUUGGGGACCUGCGGCUGCCGCAGGCCCUGAAAAGCAGUGGCGGGCUCGCUGUCACACCGAGCGUAGUAGCAUACAUCUCGCUCUGGGCGUGCUGCGGGUUCCGGCCGUUAAACCCCCUUCAUAACCCAAGGUUGACCUCGGAUCAGGUAGGAAGACCCGCUGAACUUAAGCAUAUCAAUAGCGGAGGA